rnacentral:rRNA from 1 species
AUUGAACGCUGGCGGCAUGCUUUACACAUGCAAGUCGAACGGCAGCACGGACUUCGGUCUGGUGGCGAGUGGCGAACGGGUGAGUAAUACAUCGGAACGUACCCAGUAAUGGGGGAUAACUAUCCGAAAGGAUAGCUAAUACCGCAUACGCCCUACGGGGGAAAGAGGGGGAUCGCAAGACCUCUUGUUAUUGGAGCGGCCGAUGGCUGAUUAGCUAGUUGGUGAGGUAAAGGCUCACCAAGGCGACGAUCAGUAGCGGGUCUUAGAGGACGAUCCGCCACACUGGAACUGAGACACGGUCCAGACUCCUACGGGAGGCAGCAGUGGGGAAUCUUGGACAAUGGGCGCAAGCCUGAUCCAGCAAUGCCGCGUGCGUGAAGAAGGCCUUCGGGUUGUAAAGCGCUUUUGUCAGGGAGCAAAUCCUUGUGGCUAAUACCCACCGGGGAUGAGAGUACCUGGAAUAAGGACCGGCUAACUACGUGCCAGCCGCCGCGGUAAAAC